rnacentral:rRNA from 1 species
UACGUAGGGUGCAAGCGUUGCCCGGAUUUAUUGGGCGUAAAGGGCGCGUAGGCGGCUCUGCACGUUCGUUGUGAAAUCGCCCGGCUCAACUGGGCGGGGUCAGCGGAUACGGCAGAGCUUGAGCAAGCUAGGGGGCAAUGGAAUUCCCGGUGUAGUGGUGGAAUGCGUAGAUAUCGGGAGGAACACCGGUGGCGAAGGCGGGACUCUGGGCCGAUACUGACGCUGAGGAGCGAAAGCGUGGGGAGCAAACAGG